rnacentral:pre_miRNA from 1 species
UAGGUACUCCCUCCGUUCCGAAUUACUUGUCACAGAAAUGGAUGUAUCUAGAACUAAAAAAUGUCUAGAUACAUCCAUUUCUACGACAAGUAAUUCCGAACGGAGGGAGUAAUAG